CUGUAACAGGUGUGACGCAGGAAGGUAGCCUGUGCCGGGCGAUGGUUGUCCCGGUGUAAGCAUGUAGCCCAUCGAUGAGUAAUAUUUUUCGGCUUUGGGUGAGAUGUGAUGCGGACCCGUAUGGGGAAGCAGGUGAUCCUAUGCUGCCAAGAAAAGCAUCGGCGCGAGGUUUUAGCGGCCCGUACCCCAAACCGACACAGGUGGUCAGGUAGAGAAUACUCAGGAGAUCGAGAGUAUCAUGGUGAAGGAACUCGGCAAAAUGCCCCCGUAACUUCGGGAGAAGGGGGGCCAUCCACUUAUAUGGAUUUACUCCAGAAAGGGUGUGGUGGCCGCAGAGACCAGUGGGAAGCGACUGUUUACUAAAAACACAGGUCCGUGCGAACAUGCAAAUGGAUGUAUACGGACUGACGCCUCCCCGGUGCUGGAAGGUUAAGAGGAGAGGUUAGACCUUUGGGUCGAAGCUUUGAAUUUAAGCCCCAGUAAACGGCGGUGGUAACGAUAACCAUCCUAAGGUAGCGAAAUUCCUUGUCGGGUAAGUUCCGACCUGCACGAAUGGCGUAACGACUUCCCAGCUGUCUCCACCAUGAACUCGGCGAAAUUGCAGUACGAGUAAAGAUGCUCGUUACGCGCAGAAGGACGGAAAGACCCCGUGACCUUUACUACAGCUUGGUAUUGGUGUUCGGUGUGGCUUGUGUAGGAUAGGUGGGAGACUGUGAAGCUGCAACGCUAGUUGUGGUGGAGUCGUUGUUGAAAUACCACUCUGGUCAUACUGGAUGUCUAACUACGGACCCUGAUCGGGUUCUGGGACAGUGCCUGGUGGUAGUUUAACUGGGGCGGUUGCCUCCCAAAAUGUAACGGAGGCGCCCAAAGGUUCCCUCAACCUGGUUGGCAAUCAGGUGGCGAGUGUAAGUGCACAAGGGAGCUUGACUGUGAGACUGACAGGUCGAGCAGGGACGAAAGUCGGGACUAGUGAUCCGGCAGUGGCUUGUGGAAGCGCUGUCGCUCAACGGAUAAAAGGUACCUCGGGGAUAACAGGCUGAUCUUGCCCAAGAGUCCAUAUCGACGGCAUGGUUUGGCACCUCGAUGUCGGCUCGUCGCAUCCUGGGGCUGGAGUAGGUCCCAAGGGUUGGGCUGUUCGCCCAUUAAAGCGGUACGCGAGCUGGGUUUAGAACGUCGUGAGACAGUUCGGUCCCUAUCCUCUGCGCGCGUUGGAGAUUUGAGAGGAUCUGACCCUAGUACGAGAGGACCGGGUUGGACGGACCUCUGGUGUGCCAGUUGUUCUGCCAAGGGCAUGGCUGGUUUGCUACGUUCGGGAUGGAUAACCGCUGAAAGCAUCUAAGCGGGAAGCCGGCCUCAAGAUGAGAUCUCCAUGGACUUCGGUCCGUGAGGCUCCCAGGAGAUUACUGGGUUGAUAGGCCAGAUGUGGAAGCGCCGUAAGGUGUGGAGCUGACUGGUACUAAUAAGCCGAUGAC
rnacentral:rRNA from 1 species